GACGAACGCUGGCGGCGUGCUUAACACAUGCAAGUCGAACGGAAAGGCCCUGCUUUUGUGGGGUGCUCGAGUGGCGAACGGGUGAGUAACACGUGAGUAACCUGCCCUUGACUUUGGGAUAACUUCAGGGAACUGGGGCUAAUACCGGAGAGGAUCUCCUGCUGCAUGUGGGUGGUUGGAAAGUGUCGGCGGUUGGGGAUGGACUCGCGGCUUAUCAGCUGGUUGGUGGGGUAGUGGCUUCCCAAGGUUUUGACGGGUAGCCGGCCUGGGAGGGUGAACGGCCACAUUGGGACUGAGAUACGGACCAGACUGCUACGGGAGGCAGUAGUGGGGAAUAUUGCACAAUGGGCGGACGCCUGAUGUAGCAACGCCGCGUGCGGGAUGACGGCCUUCGGGUUGUAAACAGAUUUCGCCUGUGCCGAAGCGUGCGUGACGGUAAUGGGUAAAGAAGCACCGGCUAACUACGUG
rnacentral:rRNA from 1 species